rfam:Canis lupus familiaris chromosome 4, whole genome shotgun sequence.
AGGAGGAACAGCCCCAGUGGCGGGGCCAGCUCUGGAAACCUGGAUUCAGCUCCGGCAGGAACUCCGUCUGCAGGGCCUGGAGGCUCUGGGGCGCG